UAAAAAGAAUUUAAACAUCGUCAUUUCAAAAGUAAGUACUGUUCUGUGGUAAUACAACAUCUCGUUUUAUUUACCUAAAAUAUUUACCAUAUUUGUUAAAAUUUGUUUAUUUGUUUUAUAAUAUAAUUUUGUGAAUAUAAUAUAUUAUGUAUAUUAUAAGAAGUAAUGUUUAUAUUUUUGUUACAAUAUUGUCCGAUUUAAAAUCGUAUAUUUGUAUUUAAUUAUGAAUACAAAUAAUUUGUAUGUUUACAUAAAUUAUAAUUGAUUUCUAAAAGAUAGUGAGAGAAAAAUUAAAUAGUUUUCUCUGUUAGGAUUUAUUCAUAGCAUAAUAUUAAAAAGUCGAGCAAAAGAGAACUCAAGAACAGCUGAUUUUUUUAUAAGGAAUUGAAGAAAAUAUUUAAAAGCUGAUGAUUUUCACAGCCAUUUAUGUCGCGAUUUGUGGUCUUUCAGUUGUUUCAACAUCACCUAGGAAAUUAACAUUAAGAUAUCAGGAUCCUGCAUAUAACGAGAUAAGAACUAUGAUCUUGUUAGGAUACCUAUUCCGUCACAAUAUGAAGUGAAGAUAUUCAUGGUGUGGAAGUCGUUACUUUAAUUACAUAGUGCAUAUGAAAUUGGUCCUUUACAUCAUGUUUAAAAUUGACGUAAUGCUACUAUGCAAAAUAGUGAGAGAUGUGAACCCUAGGCAGAGCUACAGAAUUACUUUUGUUGAGAGACAAAUUAUGAUAGUGAUUAGAAUCGCAUAUUCUAGACUUUUACUUAAAAAAUGAUUUGUUCGGAAUGAACUUUUAUAGUGUGGAGGAAUACCUGCAAAUUAUAAUAUGAGGCCUACGUAUAUGAUAAUUUUAUUAUGAUCUGUUGUGUUUGUUUUUUUAUAUUUUGUAUUAUAUAUUUGUGUUAGCUUUAAGAAUUUAUUGACUAUUCCUAUACAAUUGUACAUUGUUUUAUGGAAAUAAAUAAAUGAUUGAUUGAUUGAAUAAGUUAGGAAACCAUACGAUCGAGAAAAAAACGGCUUCAAAGGCGACUGGGGAAUGAAAAUAUGAUAAUUUCAGUGAGGUCAAGCCCUAGAAGUCAUUUUCUUGGCUCGUACUAUUUUUUAAAGGCGCUCUAAGGUUGUAAUUUAUUUUUACAUUAAGUAAAUAUGAUUUUUAAAUGGUGUAGUUUAAGAUUGACCUCGCUAAAUUAUCAAUCGUCAUUCCUCAGCCGCCUUUGACGCCGUUUUUUUUAGACUAUUUGCUAUAACUAUGUUAUCUGUUAUGCAAAUACAUAUGUCAACAAGUAAAAAGCCAAUGAGAAAUUAGUUUCUGCUUGGAUCCUUACAGUGGCAUUUAACAAAAUAUAUAUUUUUUCAGGUUACAAUAUUUUAUUUAAUAUGAACCUGUAAAUGUAAGAAUAUUAUACAUAUAUUAUAUUUUUUACUCAGUCCCUAAAUAUAUUAUUAAAAUACAACACUUGUGUUUUUUAUUAAUAUCGUGUUAUGAUUAAUACCUAAUUAAUGUAAAAUUAUAUGGUAUGUAAAUAUCCUUACACUGAGAAUUCGUUUGGUCAAAAUAUUACUCUCUUACUAAUAUGAAUUUGAAAACUACAGAACAUUGUUUUUUUUUAGUUUUUGUGCUAAUAUUUCCACUUAAAAUUACCGAAUAUAUUUAUGGUAUAGGUAGGAAAAGAUGAAUUUUGUGCUUUUUAAUUAUACAUUAUAUUAAUUAUAUUAUUAUUGUAAAUAAUAUCUACUGAUAUUUAAUAUAAAAAAUAGUUAUUCACAUGCAUCUAUUUUUCUUUUGUUCCAUUAACAUUUUAGUUUAUCAAUUAUCAAUCACUAUACGAUAUACAAUACGUAUAAUAUCUUUUAAUUAUAUCUAACUUUUAAUUAUUGAAUAUUUAAUAAACAAAUUUUUUAUAGUGUUUGUUAAAUAUUUUAUAGCAUAUACUAUUAUGU